rnacentral:lncRNA from 1 species
CUUAAUCUUUUAUGUCAUUGUUUGAGCUAGGAAUUAGGCUUUAUUUGUAUGUGUGGAUACAAAAAGGCUAUGAAAAUAGUUCAGGCAGGAGUUGUAGACACAGAGAUGCGGAUUAAGAGUUGGAAAAUAUACAAAAGAUUGUUUAAAUACGAAAAGGGAAAGCCGAAAAUUCAGGUAUCGUCUAAGCCAGCUCUCCAUUGCUCCACAGCAGAGCUCUAACAGCAAGUUCUGCAUUACAUGGUCCAAAAUAUUAACUAAAAGACCUUAAGAUUUAUCCCAAGUGUGGCUGGUUCAUUAGCCUGUCCUAAGCGGUUGAAAUAAGAAGUCACUCCUAUCAGUUUUGAGUACAAAUCCAGAUUACAUGUCUCUAAUGAAAUCUUUAAGGCCAACCCACGAUAUUGAAAACCAGAUGAAGAAUGCCAUUUGAUAAAACUCGAGAUUAUCCCCUACAACGAGCUUCUGCCAAUGGAGAAGUCAAUCUCGUAAAGGUAAUAUAAGCAUCAGUUACUGUAAGUUCUUGAUAUCUUGAAUGACCACGUGAGCUGCAUUACGUCCGGGAGCACCCAUUACCCCUCCACCUGGAUGGGCCCCGCUCCCGCACAGAUACAAACCUCAUACUGGAGUCCUAUAAUUUGAUCUGCAUCCGAUAUCAAAAAUAAAAUUACUGUAUUACAGUGACAAAAGCAAAUAUUCAAGCAAGAAUAAGAGUGUUGCUUCGUGGACAGGGAUGGGGACAGGGUUUGGGACACGGGCGCCA